rnacentral:rRNA from 1 species
CGGCGGACGGGUGAGUAAUGCCUAGGAAUCUGCCUGGUAGUGGGGGACAACGUUUCGAAAGGAACGCUAAUACCGCAUACGUCCUACGGGAGAAAGCAGGGGACCUUCGGGCCUUGCGCUAUCAGAUGAGCCUAGGUCGGAUUAGCUAGUUGGUGAGGUAAUGGCUCACCAAGGCGGCGAUCCGUAACUGGUCUGAGAGGAUGAUCAGUCACACUGGAACUGAGACACGGUCCAGACUCCUACGGGAGGCAGCAGUC